rnacentral:rRNA from 1 species
CGUGUAGGCGGGGGUGCAAGUUACCGGUAAAACCCAGGGCUCAACUCUGGGCUUGCCGGUAAAACUGCAUCUCUUGAGUGUAGGAGAGGGAAGUGGAAUUCCCGGAGUAGCGGUGAAAUGCGUAGAUACCGGGAGGAACACCAGUGGCGAAGGCGGCUUCCUGGCCUACAACUGACGCUGAGGCGCGAAAGCUAGGGUAGCGAACG